AAUACAGAGAGAGGACAGCACAAGAUGCCGAGAGAGAAAGAGAAGGAAACGAAGCUGAAAAUAGAAACAUCAAAACAACAAGCCAUUCCAGCUCUAAGUGCCAUAGUAAACAAAUGGUCCAAUGUUGCUCCGACGGUUUAAUUGCAGCAGCUCCAGACAAGCUCAUUCAUGAAGCAUCUUCAGUUGAUGAAGAGGAGGAGUGAGACUUUGGGGGAAGGGGUGGCUUGUGGCUAUCUCUGAGGAAGGAUCUGAACUGCCAUCCCAGCUGUUCCCUUAAAGUGACUGGCAACAAUGGAUCCUUUCUAUUCACGAAUUCCCGGGCCUGUAUUGGGGCUGUGGUGGGCUCCUAGGUGCUUCUCUGCGCUUUCCAAAUGGUGACAAUGAUGUGAACCCCUGCGGCAUAAGGGCAAAGCUGAAUCCAAGGGGAUCCGGAGCCACUGUAGAUUCUCAAACAGGGUAAAUUAAAGGCAAGAAGAACUUGGGGUCAGAAUGGAGGACCUCAGAACUGGAAGGUGCCUCAUGUAAUUGGGCCCAGAGAAGCCAGAGGGUUGCUGGAUUUGUGCCCUGAUCACUGCUUAACAAUUAAACAGUUGUGUAAACUUUCCUACUCAUGACCUGGGGUUCUUUCAGGGUGUAGAGGAAAUGGAGUGAAAUGAAUUCCAGGUGCCAGUUUAAUUCCAUGAAGUUCAGUAUGCCUGCCAAACACGGGGAUUUGAUGCAGGUUCCCUGACUGAAGGACCGCAGGGAGGAAGGGGUAUCUGCAGGCUCUUGGCUCAGGUUUUCCUCUUCUGACACUCACACACAAAGCAGGGCCUUGCUUAUCCUCCAGGGUGAUUAUCGCUCAACAGUCCCUGGGCUUCACAUAUGUAGGCUUUUCAGCACACCCGUGGAAUCAAAC
ensembl:lncRNA